ensembl:lncRNA
GUGUAAGUUACAAGCUCAAUCAAUGGAAGCUGGCCAGGAGAAAAGGUCCUUCAGGUGCAGGAAUCAGAUGCAAUGAUGAUGAAGAGGCUCGCAGAACCAUCAUCUGCUUCUUUGGACACACUGGUUGAGUCGUCGUUCUCUUGUUUCAUACAAAUGUCAAUCCGAUGACAACGUUCACUGCAGUUAUGUAAAUCCAGGUGGAUUUUGAUAGGCUGUCUUAAUUGCUCAUCCAAAAAAAUAAGUGAUCCCUGAUUCUCAGAGGUACAUCGUGGUGAAUUGGUCAAGUGGACUUUUACCUUGCAUGGCCCUGUACAAAGCCGUAUGACCAUCUGCCUGCACUCUGAGCCGAGGUAGCAUGAGGAUAGACAGAGGCAUGAGACCCGACUGCUGUCAGGCUUCCAUUAUAUUUCACAGUUCAGCUGGCCUGGGGUGAGCUGCAGGGAUUUUGGGGUAUCUGAGAUGCUCAACUCACCCCAAUCAAACUCAAGCACACACAUAGUCAGGCGCAUGAGGCCUGCAGAGACGAGAGCAGGAGAGAUGUUUGGCACACUGUUACCAUUCUCUUACUUGUAGCUGGCUAGUUGGUCCAUCUGUGUCUUGCUUUCAAUAAUCUGGUCUGUUUACAGCCUUUGGCUUCUCCAGUG